GUAUAAAUACAUGAAAGGAAUGUAUAGAUAAAUGAAAUGAAGGUAUAAAUACAUGAAAUACUAGUAUAAAACAUGAGAUGGAGUUAUAAAAGCUAGAAAUAUAUAAAAAUAUAAAAGGGUUUGGUUGAUUUCAAUUCGGUUAAUUUCAGUUAAAUGGUAGUACAAAAAUAUAAUCAAUAACCGAUUUUCGGUUAAUUUCAGUUGAGUUUUUACACUUUUACUCAAACAAACACAUCACACCAACACCAACAGUCCAACACCGAUUUCCACCAAGUCAACACACCAAACCACAACUCACCGUUUCACAACAAACUUCCAAUCCUCUACCCUCACCGCUCGUUGCAGGUCCUCCACCCCCACCACCGAGCACGUCAACACCACUCUAUCCAUAACACCACACUCCCCCACCGUAUUCACCACCUUGCGCCACCUACAUCCACCCUUAUCCCCAACCUCACACACAACAACCUCUCCAUCUCUCUCACCAACACACAUAUACACCACAUUUCCCCCCAUAACCACAUCAAUUGACGAUAUUACCUCAUCACACCUCCUCAAAUCCUCAACUAUAUCCACCGGCAUCUCUCCGAUCGCCUUCAAUCCAAACGAUUCACAAUCCACCUCCCACACCUUCACACCGGUAACAUCCUCAGCUUCACCUAACACUCCGAUCACAAUCAAUCUUCCGGUUAAUUUUCCGAUAACCGAAUGAUAAACGUUACGGUCCGGACGCAGAUCGUACGGCCCGGACCACGUGUUUGUACUCGUAUCGAACGAGUACGUCAUGCCGGAGCUUUUCUCCAUAACGAACAGAUUCGGAUCAUCGGAAGCAACCGAAAGCCAGAUCGAUGAAGCGGAGUGGUUGAAACUGAAAAUCCUAGGCAUCGGAUCCGAUUUGAUCCAGGUGUGUGACUGGAGGUCGUAGAUCUCUACAGCGAGUGGAUCAUUUUCGAAAUCGUACGUUAGAGUGAGAUGAUCGGAGUGUGGUGAUGUGAUUGGUUGUUGGAGAUCGGGUAUGGAUCCGGAUCCAUUUGUUGGAGUCCGGGUCGUAGGCGUGGGUGGACGGGUACGGGCACUGGUACUGGUACGAGUGCCGGCUGCUUUGUGUGUGUAGGACUAACCAUGGUUUAGGGUUGGUGGAGGUUCGGAAGGUGGAUGACACGCUAGCGGUCCAGGCUUUUGACACAUGGGAUAAGGGGAUGAGGUGGAUGAGUGGGAUGUGAGAGAGUAUGGCGUCUAUUCCUACUUGA
rnacentral:lncRNA from 1 species